rnacentral:rRNA from 1 species
UACGAAGGGGGCUAGCGUUGCUCGGAAUCACUGGGCGUAAAGCGCACGUAGGCGGAUUGUUAAGUCAGGGGUGAAAUCCUGGAGCUCAACUCCAGAACUGCCUUUGAUACUGGCGAUCUUGAGUUCGGGAGAGGUGAGUGGAACUGCGAGUGUAGAGGUGAAAUUCGUAGAUAUUCGCAAGAACACCAGUGGCGAAGGCGGCUCACUGGUCCAGCACUGACGCUGAGGUGCGAAAGCGUGGGGAGCAAACAGG